rnacentral:lncRNA from 1 species
UAAAUCUGGCGCAACGGACAACGAGAAGAUUCCAAACUUCGCAUUUAUUACAACUUCCGUAUCUAUCCACGUGCUUCAAACGCACAUUUCAUCCCAUCGCUCAUUAGAUCAAAUUCAAAUAGAAUUUAAUCAUAAAAGCUAUCACUUUCCCCAAACAAAACAGACUUCAUCCAAACCCUUGUCACAACACACAACCUAUGUUAAACCUAAAAAAAUGCCAUUGACAAACAUAAAUAAAAAAAAAAAUGAAAAAAAUAAACAAGAGAACUCCCACCAUUGACAUACGAAUUGAAGACUGAAAUGUAGAAGAAAAGAAAAAAAAAUCUUAGUGUGUAAAAUUAAUCAGAUAAGAUAGUACCGAAAAUCAAUUACGCCCAAAAUAAAAUUAAAACGAAAGAAAGCUAAUUCAAUUACAUUCAAC